rnacentral:lncRNA from 1 species
UUAAUUUUGCUCUUUAGAUAUUUGAGGCAAUUCUUGAAUGAAUUAGGCAUUUUUAGAUUUUUACUAUUGUUUUGGGUUUAAUUUCCCGAGUAUGAAAUAGUUGGGGACUUGCUUGCGAGUUCUCUUCUUCUCAUUUUGUGUUCCUCUUUGAUGGCAUGCUAGGGCUUUGUUGCACUGAAAGUUCAAUUAGUCUAUCGACUUUGCUUUUUGAUGGGACCGUGCGUACCCUCACUCCAACCCCGCAUUAGUAUGAUAUUGUCCGCACGAAUUUGUUUUUGAGCAUCU